UCCGAUAUAGUAUAACGGUUAGUAUAACCGCCUCUCAAGAUCGUCUUGUCGGGCAACGCGGUAGAUCGGGGUUCGAUUCCCCGUGUCGGAA
rnacentral:tRNA from 1 species